CUCAAAGGAAUUCUCAUUACUGCGCGCGUUCACCCUAAAUCGAGAUAAAAACCCUAAAACAAAACUCCUCCGUCGUUCACCCUCUCACCGUCGUUCACCCUCCUCCUCUUCUCACUGCCGUAUGUUCUUCCUCCUCCUCUACUCUGCCGCGUUCACCCUCUUCCUCCAUCUUAGUGCUUGUGGUCAAGGUCGGAAAAGGAUCCGUGACGCAAGUACGAACGGGUUCUGUGCAGUUCAAAGCAUCCUCUCACCAUACCAUCCACCGCACUACUCUGCUCGCCGGUAGAUCGCGCUUCUCGCCGCCGCUACCACCUACUCGCCUCUGCCAUGGGUACUGAGGUUGUCGUCCUCCAUUCUGGCCGACCAAAUCUUCUGUUACUCCUCUUUUCUUUCUCAAGGUGGACCUGGUAGGGUGAUAUUAUGAUGCAGGAGACAAUGUAAAGUACGGGCUACCGAUGGCGUUCAAGGUGACAACCCUGGCAUGGGGAGCUAUCUUCUAUGAGUCUCAGUUGCAGGCUGCAGGGGAACAUAAACCUGGUACUGAGAUUGCUGCUGAAACUUCUGCUGCUGCUUCUAUUGUCUUCCACAAAACUGAUAAAAAAAUAUGCUCGCCAACUCCUCAACAAGGGUGGAGUUAUAUCUGAGCAGCUGGCACUCAAAGGAUACAUUUCAAUAUGGCAUGAGAGGAGAAAAAUAACUUUGAACAUGUUAGAGAAAUGUAUGAAGUUGGCAAUCAUUGAUGACUUAACGUUAACUCUUUUUAUUUUGUAAUUUCCUGAACAUAAUUUUUGUUCUAUUAUUAUUGGAUGGGUAUUUUGCACCCCUAUGUUAUGAGUAUUUAUGUUAAUUCA